rnacentral:rRNA from 1 species
AUUGAACGCUGGCGGCAUGCUUUACACAUGCAAGUCGAACGGCAGCGCGGGCUUCGGCCUGGCGGCGAGUGGCGAACGGGUGAGUAAUGCAUCGGAACGUGCCCAGUAGUGGGGGAUAGCCCGGCGAAAGCCGGAUUAAUACCGCAUACGACCUGAGGGUGAAAGCGGGGGACCGAAAGGCCUCGCGCUAUUGGAGCGGCCGAUGUCGGAUUAGCUAGUUGGUGGGGUAAAGGCUUACCAAGGCGACGAUCCGUAGCUGGUCUGAGAGGACGACCAGCCACACUGGGACUGUGACACGGCCCAGACUCCUACGGGAGGCAGCAGUGGGGAAUUUUGGACAAUGGGGGCAACCCUGAUCCAGCCAUGCCGCGUGCGGGAAGAAGGCCUUCGGGUUGUAAACCGCUUUUGUUCGGGAAGAAAUCCUCUGGGCUAAUACCCCGGGGGGAUGACGGUACCGGAAGAAUAAGCACCGGCUAACUACGUG